rnacentral:misc_RNA from 2 species
UAAUUACCCAAGUUUGAG